rnacentral:RNase_P_RNA from 1 species
AGUUAGCCAGAUGGUCGCAUGUCUUUGUAAUGAAGAACAUGAGGAAAGUCCGAGCUCCAAAGAACAGGGCGCCAGUUAACUGCUGGUGGAGGCGACUUUAAGGAAAGUGCAACAGAAAUAAACCGCUUUGUCUUUUGACAGAGUAAGGAUGGAAAGGGGAGGUAAGAGCUCACCGCACGUUUGGUAACAAAAGUGGCACAUGUAAACCCCGCCCGGAGUAAGGUUAAAAGAAGCAUUAGGGUUGUUCGCUCGCUUCUUAAUAACACCGCUUGAAUACGUUGGGAACAACGUAUCUAGAUAGAUGGCCAUCAAAUACAGAACUCGGCUUAUAGACUAACUA